rnacentral:misc_RNA from 1 species
UUUCCGUAGGUGAACCUGCGGAAGGAUCAUUAAAUAAAUUGAUAAUUUCUCCCAAGAAUUAUCUAAAUUUACUGUGAACUGUAGUUGGCUUACAUGGCACAUAAGGGGAAUGCUCGGCAUACCAUAUGGGUAGGUAUGCUUAGGACGCUCAAGUACCUAGCCAUGGUCAGGCUUUAUGCCUGGUACCCAGAUAAUUAUUUACCAAAAGAAUUCAGUUAAACUUAAACGUAACAUAGGCCGUAAUAGUCUAUAAAACAACUUUUAACAACGGAUCUCUUGGUUCUCGCAUCGAUGAAGAACGCAGC